rnacentral:rRNA from 1 species
GGGAUGGACCUAUGCAGUAUUAGCUAGUUGGCGGGGCAACGGCCCACCAAGGCGACGAUACUUAGCCGGCCUGAGAGGGCGGACGGCCACACUGGGACUGAGACACGGCCCAGACUCCUACGGGAGGCAGCAGUGGGGGAUAUUGCACAAUGGAGGGAACUCUGAUGCAGCGACGCCGCGUGAAGGAAGAAGGCCUUCGGGUCGUAAACUUCUGUCCUUGGGGAAGAAAGAAAUGACGGUACCCUUGGAGGAAGCCCCGGCUAACUACGUGCCAGCAGCCGCGGUAACACGUAGGGGGCGAGCGUUAUCCGGAAUUACUGGGCGUAAAGAGUGCGUAGGUGGCUUUUUAAGCGCGGGGUCUAAGGCUAUGGCCUAACCAUAGUCCGCCCUGCGAACUGGAGAGCUUGAGUACAGGAGGGGAAAGCGGAAUUCCUAGUGUAGCGGUGAAAUGCGUAGAUAUUAGGAGGAACACCAGUGGCGAAGGCGGCUUUCUGGACUGAAACUGACACUGAGGCACGAAAGCGUGGGUAGCAAACAGGAUUAGAUACCCUGGUAGUCCACGCCGUAAACGAUGAGCACCAGGUGUCGGACUCGAGAGAGUUCGGUGCCGAAGCUAACGCAUUAAGUGCUCCGCCUGGGGAGUACGCACGCAAGUGUAAAACUCAAAGGAAUUGACGGGGACCCGCACAAGCAGCGGAGCAUGUGGUUUAAUUCGAAGCAACGCGAAGAACCUUACCAGAGCUUGACAUCCUCCUGAAAGGCCGGGUAAUGCCGGUCCUCUCUUCGGAGCAGGAGUGACAGGUGGUGCAUGGUUGUCGUCAGCUCGUGUCGUGAGAUGUUGGGUUAAGUCCCGCAACGAGCGCAACCCUUGCUGUCAGUUGCCAUCAUUGAGUUGGGCACUCUGACGGGACUGCCGGGGAUAACCCGGAGGAAGGCGGGGAUGACGUCAAAUCAUCAUGCCCCUUAUGUUCUGGGCGACACACGUGCUACAAUGGCCAGCACAAAGGGAUGCGAAGGAGCGAUCCGGAGCGAACCCCAAAAGCUGGUCCCAGUUCGGACUGCAGGCUGAAACCCGCCUGCACGAAGUUGGAGUUGCUAGUAAUCGAGGAUCAGAAUGCCGCGGUGAAUGCGUUC